GGGGGCCUACGGGGCGCAGCAGUCGAGAAUCAUUCACAAUGGGGGAAACCCUGAUGGUGCGACGCCGCGUGGGGGAAUGAAGGUCUUCGGAUUGUAAACCCCUGUCAUGUGGGAGCAAAUUAAAAAGAUAGUACCACAAGAGGAAGAGACGGCUAACUCUGUGCCAGCAGCCGCGGUAAUACAGAGGUCUCAAGCGUUGUUCGGAAUCACUGGGCGUAAAGCGCGCGUAGGCUGUUUCGUAAGUCGUGUGUGAAAGGCGCGGGCUCAACCGGCGGACGGCACAUGCUACU
rnacentral:rRNA from 1 species